GCCCGGGUGGUGGAAUUGGUAGACACAGGAGAUUUAAAAUCUCCCGGCCUUACGGCUGUACCGGUUCGAUUCCGGUCCCGGGCACCA
rnacentral:tRNA from 1 species